AAGGAUGAAGAAGUUUGUGGAAUGGCUUGGGAAUGAGAAGACUGAGUUGAGGCCAUGGAAGCUGGGCUGGUCCUUUUGUGGAUGGUGAGCAAAUUUCCCUUCAGGCACUGUCACCCAUCUCUGACACUGAAACAACAUUUUGGAGCCUUGUAAAUUUCAGCAGGAUGUGACUGAUAGGAGCCCUGGGUUCUAAUCUGAGCUGUGAGUGCUCCUGGCAGUCACUUAACCUCUGUUUACCCCUGCUUCCUCUCCAUAAAACAGCAGUGGCAGAAUUGACCCACUCUGUUUAGCUGCUUAAGGGGGACACUGUGACAGCGGUUAAAAAGCACUGCCAGUUCAUGCCAUUUAUAGCAGUAGUGAUUGUUGAAAAGGAGAACAAAAUGAUGUUGAAAUAGGAAAACAGUGUGGUCUGAACAGUUCCUCUCUACACUUGGAAUUUCUCUUCGUUUUAAUCUCGUUGGAUUAUUGUCCUUUUAUUCCAUAAAUGGAAAUGACGGAAAAGGGUCCUCACAGUCCUUGUUCUUUGAUUACCUUGUUCUUUGAUUGUCCUUGUUCUUUGUUUUGGGAGCUUUGCUCAACUGAAUAGUGUUUUUCCCUAUUUUCCGUUUCCACCACCUCUCUCAUCAUGUAUUCACUUUGAAAAUUAUUCAGAAAUUGAACAGGCUGAGCUAAAGACCUUAGCAAAGAAAUGCAAUCAGAAGCAGCAGAUUCUAAUACCAGCCCUGCCAUAGGUUCGUUCUAGGACUACAGGCAAGCCAUUAACCUGAGUUUUCCAACUAUAAAACAGCAAUCCUUCUGAUUAAUUUCACAGAAAGAAGAGAUAACUCAUGAUAAGGCACUCUGAAAUAUUAAUUCCCCUAGAGAGGACAAAAUAUCUUGUAGGUGAUUUUGCAAACUCAAGUAUGGUGUUAGUUUGUCCGCAACUAGGAGCUAUUUUUGUAACAGAGAGAUUGCUCUGGCACAGGGUCUGCAGCCAGGGUGAUACCACCCACAAAACAAUGAUAUCUCAUGUGUUUAAAUGAUAAUGCAGGCACCCCCUGUCAAAGUUCUAUUGCCUCAGGUCCAACCAAGGAAAAAUGUGAUAACAAAAAUGUGUGGGAAAGGGAAGCCUCUGUUGUACACAAACUUGGGAUUUCCUCAUGCAUGCCCUGGAAAAAAAUCUACACUGAACUUGUUAAAAAUGGAUGCCACCGUGUGAGGACAACUCUGAUGAAAGGCUAGAAUGAUCUAAGGAAGAUGGCCUGGUACAUAAAACUACACACAUUGGUCAGAAGGCCACCAGAAGAGAUUAAAAAAUACCAUUAGUUUUAAAACUUCAGAAUGAGUAACACUGAGGAAUUUGGAAAGGGAGGGUCAUGUACUCAAGAAGGAAAAACAGACUCCCAACCUAAGUUAAAAAUAAGAACAGCAGGGUGUUCUGAGAAACAGGACAAACAAUAUGGGCUGAAGAAACAUGAUCGACUGAAGGUUUUAUUUCCUUUCCGUUGCUUCCUAACUUUGAGACCUCGGACAAGGUGCUUAGCUUCUCUGAGAUAAUUGGGGUGGCGGUGAAGAAUGUUGAGUUUUUUCUGCUUAGCUUAUUAUGAAUCUCAAGCAAGAAUCUCUGUGUAACUCUUAGCACAGGGCUGGGCUCAUACUGGUCCUUCUGCUGAUAAUAACAAUGCCUCAUAUUUAUUGACACUCACUGUAUGUCCUGUGCUGUUCCAUACUUUUCCAUCUAAUUACUCACUUGAUGCUCACAAUCAGCCCCUAACGUUGCUACUGUCUCUCCUUCCUCAGAGUUGCUAUCUAUGUGGAAGGACUGUUCUAAGAUUUAUAUUCUUCUAUGGACUAAAAGUCAGCAGCCUCUUUUAGUAAUAGUAUUUGCAACCAGCAUUGCCUGUUUUCCUACGGAAAGGGCUAAUCCAGUCUUGCCUGGUACCUCAUUUAGGCUGCAUUGAGCACUUGGUAACAUACAAUAAAGCAAGUGACAGGUUCAGAAUUCAGGACAAAAAUGGCCACAGAAAACAAAUGGUGCUUCAAAACUCCAAACCACUUCCAGGUCUACGACUAUAACCUCCUCAGUUUGGGCUUCCAGACAGUGUGCUCAUCAUCUGGAUUUGGGGUUUAAUGAACGUUAGUUCCCUUGAGGCAGCAAUGUGGGAACAGUAACUGGCCAAAGAAGGAAAAGAAUGGAUUAUCCUUAAGAAAUGAAUUGUAUCAUUAGUUAUUAUGAAUGCCCCAAAUUAUGACAGAUUCAUGUGUAAGUAUGCCAGGGAAAAGUAGCCGUGAGCUAUAAUACACACAAUCGUUUAUUACCCAAGAGAAUUUAGGUGCUAAUGUGGAUGGUUUUGCAUCUGUGAGAUUCUGAAACCCACAAAGGAUUCCAAGAUAUAAAGCCAAAUAAACCAUAAUACAGAGGGAAAUGAUUUUGAUUAUGUAACAUUUAUAUAUAGCAUUUCAUUUUACAUUUUCAAAUUGCUUUUCAGUCAUUGGUUUAUUCUUCAUAGCACACCUGGGGAGUAUAUCCAUGCUGUUAUCCUCUGUUCACAGCUGAGGCAACUGAGACUGAAGGCAAAGUGUUUUGUCCAAGCGCACAACAGGGGCAGGGUGAGAAAUCAUGUAUUUAUCCAAUCACGGGUCUAUUCAGCACCUCUCCUUGGCAAGGUACCACAGUGUGUGGUGUAUAGCGAUGGGUACUGUAUGCGUGGUCCCUGACGUGCAGGGAGUCUGCUGGGGCAGUAAGCGUUUUGUGGAUGGUGUCUCCAGGAGUGCUCUAGCCAGCAAGGACCAGGGUUUAGAGGAGGAGAAGGUGAGUCCCCUCACAUUCCUGGAGACAGUAGCAUUUGAGACCCUUGAGAGAUGGGUAGAAUUUUGGCAAAGAGAAGCUGAGGGUGGUGUGAAUGCCAGAGCAAGGAAGGUGGGCACAUUCAAGGUGUAUUGGAGAAUGUUUGACCACAGCAGGACGUUUGUCAAAAAAGGGCUGGUGAGGAGAAAGCAGAUUUUCCAGCACACUGAAUGCCCGGCUAAAUAUAUAGAUUUUAGCCUGUGGGCAAUGAGAGCUCGACUCCUCUCUGACUUCUUCCAUUCCCUCAUUAUUCUAACACGCACUGAGUGCUAAUAUACACUUAGUCUCCAGAUGUUUUCUCAUACACUGGCUUUUCUAACCUUCACAGCAUUCCAACGAGAUACAUAUUAUUUUUCCUCCUUCAGUGGAUGAGAAAACUAAUGCAUUUGGAAAUUCAGACUUGCCCACCAUUAUGGAGCUCAUAACUGACAGAUGUGGAAUUUGGAAGUAGGACUUUUGACUUCCUCAUAGGUGUUUGUGGGAAGAAGGGUGCAGAUUCUGGACAUUGUAUUCACAAUGCUCAUCUAAUAAUAUGCCCUCCACCCUGGCUCAAUGUCUUUCCAGAAAGGAAAAGUAAAUGGAAGAAAAAUAAAAUUAAUUUCUUAGCAUGUAAUUUAUUUUAUUUCUAAAGUCAGCUGCAGGUCAGUAAGAAAGACAAAGACAGAUUGUGCUCUACGAUUGAUAACAAAUGUCUGCAUUUUGAUAACUUUAGUGUUGUCAGUAUCUUUAAUAUAUUCGGAUCUCAGCUUAGUGUUUCCACUAAGCCAGAAUCUCUCUCUGGAGUUGGUCAAUUCGGUCCCUAAUCCUUUCCCCUUAGCAUGCAACCUAACCCGUUUAUUGUAGUGCCCUAUGAGGUCUCCAUCUCAGCUUGAAUUUUGCCCAUUAAGAAAUAGCUUUUUCUCUUCAGAUACAGGCUACUAAUUAGCAUUUUUACUGUUUAAUCAUCUGGGCUAAAAUACAAGUGAGAGAAGUAUUAUUGUUAAUCCAAAAAUGCUUAGAAAGGAAACCGAUUGCUUAUUUAAAUCUUCCUAUAAAGAAAUAAAGAGAUGCCCUCAAGGGGUGGGUGAGAUGAGAAAACUUAGGUGACAUAAAAAUUAAAACUGAAAAUUUUAACAUUUGUGAAAUAGGGCACUUCUUAUUGAUCUGGUAUUAUGGAAGAGUGGGUUUUUUUGUUUUGUUUUUUGUUUGGUAAAUUCCUGUCCGUGAUCAGUCAAAGAAGUUUUCCUCUAGAGCAAAUACCUAAAUACCUGCAACAAAUGACAGGCCACUGUUGACCCUAUAUGUGAAGAAAAACAGGAAACCACUAAAACGGAAUAUUUCAAAAUCCUAAAUCUAAUGCGUAACAUUCUCCUUGUCUCUCAACCCUCUAGUGCCUUGUUUGGCUUUGUCCGGAUUGUAUUUUAUGACCCGGGUUAUAGAGAGAUCCACAAAUAAGUGGUUAAGUGUUUUUCCAUGGUUUUUUGUUUGUUUGUUUCUUAAAGAAGUUGAAAGAAAGUAAAGUUAACAUGUAAGGAUCAUUAAAUUUCAUCUAAGAUCUUAAGGAUUCUAUGUGAAAGAUAAAGAAAACAAGCACUGGACCAGAAAACUGUAUCUGAUUUCUCUUCUCUCUUAAAAUGCCAUAACUUUUUCAUGUGCUUUGUAGGAGAGCAAUGGGCUGGGACAAGAUGGUCUCUGUUUCACUGAGGAAAGUGAUAAAACUAAUCCAUGUUGUCUUGGCUUCUAGAUCUGCAAAGCAGGGAUGCUUACCUUGAGAUACAGAGAAAACAGAACUUUGAAAGACUCAGAGGAAAUCAUACAACUGAUUGUAACCAUUUGCAUCUCUUUACAGAGGAAAAAUCCACAAUACAUACAUCUGGGGACUUUCCAUAUUGAUGGAAGAAAGUGUUCAGGAUACCUAAGUGAAUCCCAUUGAAGGCAUGUAUUAGCAUUAAUUUCUCCUAACUAUUAAAACUGAAGCUAACGUGGGUUCUUUCUCUUCUUAAGAUGUGCAGCAAAAAUGCUGAAACUCUCAAAGAUGAUUGAGGCCAAAACAUGCCAGAAUUAACCUUGUUUAAAAAACAAAAACUAUGCGCAGUAGAUAACUUUCCCAACCAAUAAGACUGAGGCUCUUUUCACAGGAGCUUCUGAAUUCUGAACAAGGUCUAAUGGGAUAUUGCAGGGAGCAAAAUACUGUGUGAGAAGUUAAUGACAUUUCAUCUUGAUGUCUGGUGAAGGCCAAUUUAGGAUGCGUCUGGAAACAGGCAUGUCAGCUGACUAAACCCUGGGCGUCUUUGUGGGGAGGUUAUUGGUCUUGUCCUGGGUAAAGGACCCAAGGUCAUUGAGUUAUAGCAUCUCAAGGUACUUUUCAUGGCCUCUGCAGUAAUCACUACAGUAUUAUCCUCAGGUAUAAGUACUCAGUAAAUAUUUGUUUGAUAGAAUUUAAUUGUUAGCAGGUUCUGAGCUUAACUAAAGCAGACAACUGCCCUUGGAAAUACAACCAAUCUCUCAGAAGUCCAAAGAGAAAAGAGCAUAGUCAAGGUCGAGUGUCCCCAGAAAGGUCAUGCUUGCUUAGAAUUCAUAGCUCAAAUCAGCUGUGGUGGGCAUGAGGGCACUAAUUCUUAUUCAGAGUCAAAGAAACUAUUCACUUGCAAAUGAAUUGGAAUAUGUAAUUGGACCUGGCCCCUGAAAGUUUUGUGGCCUUUUCAAAGCAAAAUGGAAAAAGGGAAAACUAUGGCUGUUUUCUGACUCCCUUUUCCAACAACCUGAAAAUAUAUUAUAAAUGAGUUCUUAGUUGUGGGUCACCAUCCUUGCAAGACCUGUCUUUGGUUCCAAGGUUAGAAACUCUUCCUCUGCCUCCCGUUCUCACCGAUCCCCAACUUGAGCUAGGUCUCAAAGUCUCAUUUUGACCAUAUAUUCUUUCAGCCACAUGGGGGAGGAUGAGAAGAGGCUAAAUAUAGCCAUGGAAAAAACAACCAGCAGACUAGAAAGCACCUUUAGGCUUAACAUCAACAGUGAGUAUGUAGCAUCAGCUUACAGUCUUGUGUGAACACGCAUGAAUUUUUUCUAAGAAUAUUUUUCAGAAGAGUGUGUUUUUUAGAUACAAUCUCUAAAUUGCAUUAUGAAUGAUAAAUGAGAAGGUUAACAAACUAUACUUCAUGGCUGUUUUACGUAUUUGCUGCCAUGAUUAGCUCUAUCUUUGUGAGUAUAGAUUAUGUCACUUUAUUAGUCUUGCUGGAAAGGGAGAACUACUGUACUUUGGUGUUGGGAAAGUAUCUUUGAGAUGAUGACGAAGAUUGCAGGAAAGGCUUGGGUUUAUUUUGGAAUUUGCUUCAUUUUAAAAGACUGUGACUAGGUCUUCAUACCUGUCUAAUAAGCAUGCAUGUAACAUUUUUGUUUGCUGAGUGCCUUUUAGCCCCCAUUAGUCUCCACAAUACCCCUUGAGGGUGGGUCAGUAUUACUGCCAACAGUUUACAUUUGAGGAAGUUUAAGACACAAAGGGAUUAUGUGAUUUGUACAAGGUCACCCAGCAUUCAAGCCUAGCUAAGAAAAAAUGACUGCAAAGCUCUUUCCAAAUAAAAAGUGCCUUAUAAAUGUUAGGUAGUAUUAAUGGGCAUGAUCCCAGGAUGAGUAAAAUACUCUCUAGGAGUCAAGUGCUCAUACAUGCUUUAUAUGAUUAAUUCUUUUAACCUCAGGGCAACUUUUGAUAUAGGAAUUCUUGAAAUUGGCUAUGCAUCGGAAGCAUCUUUAUAGCUUUUAGAACCUGGAUCCCUACCCAAGCUUAGAAUCAUACUCUGGGAGGCGGGACCCAAAUAAUUUGUAUCAUGUAAAGCUCCACAGGGGAUUCUGAUGGUCAGCCAGGGUGGAGAACCACUGUCCUAGACAGGCAAUAAUAAUAAACUCAGACAAGCCAAGAGCAACAAGAAAACACCGUGGAGUCCAUUUAGGAGAAAAAGUCUAGCAUCUUCCAGGCUUCUGUUUACCUACUUUGCCACUAUUAUUAACAAAGGAACUGCUUCCAUGAAAAAAAUCAACUGUAGGAUCCAUGUGUGGAGUUCCAGGAAAUAGCGCCAAGAUUAAAGUUUAUUUAAGAACCACCUGUGUUUGUUAUAAUUUACUGGGUAAAUUUAUGGGGACUCUCCUUGUGUUAUUACUGCUUCCACUCUAAUAUUUUUAUUUGGAGUACCUUGUAUUAUAAUUGACAGUAAAAACCUCUGAUAUCUGCGCAUUUAUCCAUCUUUCAAACAUUUAUUGAAUACUUGGCAUAUGAGAUUAUGGAAUGAAAAUAAUGUUCUUUGUCCAUAGGAGUUUAUCAUCAAGUGAUAAAACAGACCCAGGCCAAACAAACGAAAACCCUCUAGUACUAAGCCAUACAUACUAAAUGACAAUCAAAGUCUACAUGAGGCAUUAUAAUUGCUAAAAUGUUGUAACAACCCAAAUGUCAUUAAUUUAAAAAAUAAAUAAAACAUAGUGUAUCCAUACGUCGGACUGUUAACAAUAAAAUGGAAUGAAGUACUGAUAUGUGCUAAAACAUGGAUGAACUCUGGAAAAAAUGUGUAAAAUGAGAAAAGCCAGUCACAAAGAACCACGUAUUGUAGGAUUCCAGUUACAUGAAGCUUUGUGAAUAGGCAAAUCUAUAGAGAUAGAAAGUAGAUUAGGAUUGCGUAGGGCCGGGGGGAGGACAAAUGGGAAGGCACUCUUAAUGGGUACAGGAUUCCUUUUUGGGGUGAUUAAAAUGUUCUAAAAUUGUGAUGACUGCACAAGUCUAUACUAAAAAACAUCACAUUGUACACUUUACAUGGG
rnacentral:lncRNA from 1 species